UUAAUACUCCCUUCGUCCGGAAAUACUUGUCAUGAAGAUGAAUAAAAGGGAAUGUAUCUAGAUGUAUUUUAGUUCUAGAUACACCCUUUUUUAUCCAUCUUGAUGACAAGUAUUUCCGGACGGAGGGAGUAUAAA
rfam:Triticum aestivum genome assembly, contig: Triticum_aestivum_CS42_TGACv1_scaffold_211981_3AS